GGAGUUUUUCCUAGCCACCGUGCUUCUACACCUGCAUUGCUUGCUGUUUGGGGUUUUAGGCUGGGUUUCUGUACAGCACUUUGAGAUAUCAGCUGAUGUACGAAGGGCUAUAUAAAUAAAUUUGAUUUGACAGUUUAAGACACAUUUUAUUUGCCUUAAUUACUCAAAUAUAGACCCAGCUUUCAUUUGACAUACUCCUAUGAACUUCACGUUGGUGCUUGUGGCUCCUUUUACCUAAUGUGAAAAGGCUACUUCUAGGCAGGAAGCCUUGUUCUAUAGUAAGUGAACAGGGCCAGGACUUGGAAGGCUAGGUCCUGACUGACAAGUAUUACAUCACUUUGGGUCCAAGGCUGCAGUGGCCUAGUUUCACAGUACUGUCAAGGGGUUAACACCUAGUGACGUUCCACACACACACACACUCAACACAGACACACACCAGAACGUGACCAUGUCCAACAGACAGGAAUAACAGCAGGUGACCAUGUCCGACGGACAGGAAUAACAGCAGGUGACCAUGUCCGGCGGACAGGAAUAACAGCAGGUGACCAUGUCCGGCGGACAGGAAUAACAGCAAGUGACCAUGUCCGACGGACAGGAAUAACAGCAGGUGACCAUGUCCGGCGGACAGGAAUAACAGCAGGUGACCAUGUCCGGCGGACAGGAAUAACAGCAGGUGACCAUGUCCGACGGACAGGAAUAACAGCAGGUGACCAUGUCCGACGGACAGGAAUAACAGCAGGUGACCAUGUCCGGCGGACAGGAAUAACAGCAGGUGACCAUGUCCGACGGACAGGAAUAACAGCAAGUGACCAUGUCCGACGGACAGGAAUAACAGAAAGUGACCAUGUCCGGCAGACAGGAAUAACAGCAGGUGACCAUGUCCGACGGACAGGAAUAACAGCAGGUGACCAUGUCCGACGGACAGGAAUAACAGCAGGUGACCAUGUCCGACAGACAGAUGGACAGGAAUAACAGCAGGUGAUAAUGCCUGCAAAAAUGCUGCUCUGGUCUUCUACUCCCCCUCAUCCACUUCUUAAAACACUAGGUUCCACGAAGACAAGGAAAUAACAUAUAGGUGGUUGAAUGGACAUAUACGUAGGUACAUGUCAACAUUAUCAUAUAGGUGGUUGAACGGAGUUCUACCUGUGUGUACAUGUUCAUAUGCAAGUUUGUCAGUGUGCACCUGUGUACAGAAUGUGUGUGUGCGCGCGUAUACACAGUACGCAUGUCUAGUGUGUGCAUAUUCCUACCUCCCAGGUCCUUCUCCUCCUCCUCCAGCUCCUCUUUAAGUUCCUGUAGUUUGCCCAGAGGGUGCAGAGCGGGCACCGUCACCCCUGGGAUCUGGGGCAGGCAGCAUGGAGGAGUCCGGGCAAUGGGAGAGUUCCGACAGUCCAGCAGGAACUUCCUGUCGUAGAUGAUGCGUGUUCCUGUCGGGGGGUAUUAGCUUGGUGGUGCAAAGGGGGUGAAUGCAUAUACACGCACCACUUUUCCUUUAAGAAUUUUUUUUAAACAAGUUAUUUUAAUUUCACCAAAUUGGACUAUUUUGUGUAUGUCCAUUACAUGAAAUCCAAAUAAAUGACAGGUUGUAGUGCACCAAAAUAAGAAAAAACACUAAGGGGGAUGAAUACUUUUGCAAAGCACUGUAGGUCCUGGAUGUCAGGAAGCUUGGCCUCAGCGAUGUACUGAGCCGUAUGAAAGACCCUCCGUAGCAACCGGUCAGUGCAUGCCCUCCGUAGCAACCGGUCAGUGCAAUCCCAGAACAUAUUCCAGUCUUUGCUAGCAAAACAGUCCUGCAGCGUAGCAGCCGCAUCACCUGACCACUUCCGUAUUGAGCGAGUCACUGGUACUUCCUGCUAUAGUUUUAGCUCGUAAUCAGAAGGAUAGAAUUAUGGUCAGAUUUGCCAAAUUGAGGGCGAGGGAGAGCUUUGUAUGCAUCUGUGUGUGGAGUAAGUGGUCAAUAGUUUUUUUUCUCCUCUGGUUGCAUGUGACAUGCUGGUAGAAAUGAGGUUAAACGGAUUUAAGUUUGCCUGCAUUAAAGUCCCUGGCCACUAGGAGCG
ensembl:lncRNA